rnacentral:misc_RNA from 1 species
AGCAGCCGCGGUAAUUCCAGCUCCAAUAGCGUAUAUUAAAGUUGUUGCAGUUAAAAAGCUCGUAGUUGAAUUUCGGGAUCAGUUCGUCGGUCGUGCCUUUGGUAUGUACUGGUGUUACUGGUUCCUCCCUUCUGACGAACCGUCAUGUCAUUAAUUUGGUGUGGCGGGAAAUCAGGACUGUUACUUUGAAAAAAUUAGAGUGUUUAAAGCAGGCUCGCGCUUGAAUACAUUAGCAUGGAAUAAUGAAAUAGGACGUUCGAUCCUAUUUUGUUGGUUUCUAGGAUUGACGUAAUGAUUAAUAGGGAUAGUUGGGGGCAUUAGUAUUCAAUUGUCAGAGGUGAAAUUCUUGGAUUUAUUGAAGACUAACUACUGCGAAAGCAUUUGCCAAGGAUGUUUUCAUUAAUCAAGAACGAAAGUUAGGGGAUCGAAGACGAUCAGAUACCGUCGUAGUCUUAACCAUAAACUAUGCCGACUAGGGAUCGGAUGAUGUUAAUUUUUU